UCGGGUUCCAAACACAUAUUCAGUUUUACACUUUGAGGUGAAAUCGAUCUCGGUUCCUGCGGUUGUACCUGAGGUGUCACAUCCUCUUCUCCACUCUAGGACGAUUCCUGUGUCAUUAAUUAAAUGGAAAUGAUUAAAGAAUUGUUAUAAUUGGAAUUACUGCUUCUUGUUUGGUUAUAUCUCCAUUCUAUGAGAAUCUGAUUUAACAACAAGAUGAGAUUGAUUGAUUGAUUAUGAUGAGAUUUUCUCACCUUUUCUUGAUUAGAUUUGAUUAGUGAUUUGAUUGGAAAAAUGCAUCCGAUAUGGAAAACAUCUCACAUCCUGCUGGACAUUCACGAUAAGGAACCACCGCGGCAGUGAAAUACUUUGGACUACAAGCGUCUGGACUAUUGUAACAAUUUAAAUCGGUACAUCGAUUGAUUGUGAAAUGACAAGUAAAACAUUUAACCGAUUCCACUAUAUGGCCAAUGAUCAACAAUUGGUUCAAAAAAUCAUAAAACACAAUGAAAAAUUAAUGGAUCACAAUUAAAGACGAUGAGAUAACGAUUAACACAAGAAAGCAACAAAUCUUACCUGUCGACUGAAAACUGAUCAAUGUAAUCAAGAAGAUUAGCAAAACAGUUAAAUCCAUUAUGGCGAUUUACUAAUCCAAAGAUAGAAAGAGAUGAAGUGAAACGUUAAUCAUGAAAAUCUUUAACAAUUGGUUCCCAAAUGAUAUCCCAAUAUUGUAACGAUAAAUUGUAAACUUUGCAAAUCAUUCUGUAUUAAUCACUAACCAAUCAAUUUGAUUUCUUUUCCUGUUCCUUUUCCCCUGAUCUUUUUUUCAGUCUCAACAAUUACCGUUAUUUUUCAUUGGCAUCAAUACAUUAAUCGUGACUCGACAUUUCCAAGGCAAUAUUUUGGCAGAUUAUCUUUCACUCUCUUGGGUCCAUCAUCAUCACAGAGCAAUUAAGAUGCACAAUCAUUGUUACAUGGAGAUGUCCCAUUUAUUGAUAAUUAAAUUAAUCCAAUUACCAUGAUAACAACGACAAUAACAAAAGGUAUCCCCUCUUAUUGUUUUAUUUGUUUACCUCUCAUCAUCUGGGAUACACGUGAUUUAAUCAUGUAAAUAUGAAAAUCAAUCAACUUUUAAUUGUAUCGUUAAUCUGGUACCAUGAAAUCAGAAUUGCCAGCCAAUUACCAUAAUGAACGUCAAGAAAAAGAUGCUAACAGAUUUUGAAAAAAUUAACUAAUUCGCAUGAUGAUUAACAUGAGGAAAUGAAAUAUCAACAAAACAACAACAACCAGGAAUCAUAAGGAAUCAACAAGGAGUUAGAGUCUUAUGAAGCAAAGGAUUAUCAACUUUUGCAUCUUCAACUCGAUUCCCAACAAUUAGUCAAAUGGUUAAUCAUAUAGUUGGUAAACUAUGAAAUUUUGGCAAUCAUUGACUGGUGAAUCUAUUAAUAGAUCACAAUUUGUUUAUCAACAUGAAAUAACUUCACCAUUAGGAUAAUAUCAACAAGUGGUUGCACCUCACAAGUUAAGUGUUAAUCAUUUUUACGAGGAAACAAAAAGUAAAUGAUACAAGUCACAUACACAAUUAACUAAAUUGUAAUCAGACUAAGAUUUCUAUUAAUUGAUCAUUCAACUAAAUUCAAUGGUUCCCUCCGUCAAGGUUUCAUAUUUACCUUGUACAUUUAAUUGCUCAUCUAAUUUUACCUUGUACUGAUUCAACCGUUAAUUGUAAACAAUUUAACAUCUCGAGAAAAAUAUUAAUUAUAAUAAUUUGUUUAUUACAAUGUUA